AUUGAACGCUGGCGGCAUGCCUUACACAUGCAAGUCGAACGGUAACAGGCCGCAAGGUGCUGACGAGUGGCGAACGGGUGAGUAACACAUCGGAACGUGCCUGAUAGUGGGGGAUAACUACUCGAAAGAGUAGCUAAUACCGCAUAAGAUCUCAGGAUGAAAGCAGGGGACCGCAAGGCCUUGCGCUAACAGAGCGGCCGAUGGCAGAUUAGGUAGUUGGUGGGAUAAAAGCUUACCAAGCCGACGAUCUGUAGCUGGUCUGAGAGGACGACCAGCCACACUGGGACUGAGACACGGCCCAGACUCCUACGGGAGGCAGCAGUGGGGAAUUUUGGACAAUGGGCGCAAGCCUGAUCCAGCAAUGCCGCGUGCAGGAUGAAGGCCUUCGGGUUGUAAACUAGCUUUGUACGGUAACGAAAAGACUCUGGUUAAUACCUAGGGCCCGAUGACGGUACCGUAAGAAUAAGCACCGGCUAACUACGUGCCAGCAGCCGCGGUAA
rnacentral:rRNA from 1 species